UCGAGACCGAAAUUACGAUUAUCGUUAUUUCUAAAUUGGCACCAAAUUUAUGGAUAUAGUAAUUUCGUGGCACUCUUUACCAAUGCUCUUUACACGUGUUAAAUAAAGAGAAGGACUCGGUUCCACUGUCUUACAACAUUCAAGAUGGCGGAGGAAAGGGGUAAAUGUGCGUUCAGUUGUGAUCAGCAUGAUCUCGACACCAAAAUAACGAUUAUCGUUAUUUCUAAAUUGGCCCUGAAAUAACGAAUAUCAUAAUUUCAGUGCAUGUCUGAGACCUUCGGGCUCGAAGCUUGGGAACUAGUAUUCAGGGAAAGAUAAAAUGGCGGCUUACGGCGGCGAAGGAAAUCUCAGUAGUUUAAUAUUUUAGCGUGAAAAGGCUUGGGUGUUGUGAUCUGGUUCUCAAGAAAAAAAAAAAUCACGGUCUGCAAUGGCCCUACCACCUUUUGAACAACAAGAAAACAUUGAAACGGUGGUAAAAAGCAGCAAGUUUCGAAGUCUAAACGAAAGAUGGGUGGUCAUUAUCCAUUACUUUUGGAAGUCGAUGCUGAUGAGAAAGAAAAAAUGUUUAUGAUUAUUUCUUCUCUCGAACAUUUUACUAUUUAGGUACCAAAUAAUCUUGAUACUGAAGAUCAUUGCAUCCAUUAUGAAAAAAUUACCCUUGAUUGCUUUGUCAACUGGAAUGUAUAAUGUAAUAUACCUUGUGAUUUGUGGGAUUUUCACAAGUAAACUAGAAAUACUUGAAGAGGGUAAUGAUGUACUUAAUGCAGAGCAUUUGGUACAAAGUCUGCUUUGCUGUAAUCUACCUGAAGGUGCUUUUUAUAUGCUAGUAAGACUUGCACAGCCCAGUCAAAAUGUUUUUGAGUAGUAGAAAAGCUGGCCAAACCUCUUCCUGAAAAGCAGUCUGAAAAAUGUGAAGUUAGCGGAAGGUACUUCAUUGUAGGCGGCCAAAUUGUAAGCUGCCAGCCCAUUUUGAGUGAGCAGUAAAACUCAAGAUUGGCUAUUUUAGCUAAUUUUAUUGAGAACCAAAUUCCCAGCAACGGGCACAAUUUUACUGGGCUAUUUGUUAUUUAACUACUUAGUAAUAUUCUUAUUAAAAUUUACUGCAUUCCUUUCUAAUAAUUUGCUGCUGAUUGUAUGCUGUAUAUAGCUUAUGAUUUGUGUGAUUUUCACAAGUAAAUUAGAAAUACCUGAAGAUGGUAAUGAUGUACUAGAUAAUGUACUUGAUGCAAAGCUAUUUUGGUGCAAAGUGUGUGCCUUGUCCGUAGGUGAUUUUGCAUGCUAAUAAGACUUGUAAUUCAAAUAAUACACAUCAGCUGGAGUGGGAAUAUUAAAAGAAAAAUAAUAAUAUUUAGCUAUACCAAGUUCUGGUUUUAUGUCCAAAGUGUGUGCCUUGUCCGUAGGUGAUUUUGCAUGCUAAUAAGACUUGUAAUUCAAAUAAUACACAUCAGCUGGAGUGGGAAUAUUAAAAGAAAAAUAAUAAUAUUUAGCUAUACCAAGUUCUGGUUUUAUGUCCAAAUUAAGCACUUAGUUGAAGAUCACUGCACUGCUCAGGUCCAGAAGGCUGAAAGAGUACUGUCUGCUGUUAGUUUGAUUUUUGUCAUUUCUAUUGAUUUAUUUUAUUUAUCAAUGUUUCUUUGAAUUGUAAUUCAUUGAUCUCUUUCAAUAGUGCAGGUUCGCUCAUGUAACCUAAUCUCCCACUUAUGUAUGUAUGUAUGGAUGAGCUCAGUCAAAAUGUUUUUGAGUGGAAGGCAAGCUGGUGAUAGUAAUAGGCAGCAGAGGCUGAACCUUGUCUUGAAUGGAAGUGUGAAAAGUGUGAAGUUAGCGGCAGCUAUAUUGUGGCAGGCAGCCAAAUUGUCAGCUGUGGCACAUUUUGACUGGGCUGAUUGUGUGUAGUAUAUAUGUGCACUUCUUUUAGGGUGUUAAACAGGUUAAAGUACCAAGAAAUCCUCUGUGAUAACUUGAUAAUUCAAGAUGUAAAAAUUUUAAAUAAUAAGGUAAAGCUUGAUCAUUCUUAA